rnacentral:rRNA from 1 species
AAACAGAUGCUAAUACCGGAUAACAACAGAUGAUGCCUAUCAACUGUUUAAAAGAUGGUUCUGCUAUCACUCUUGGGAUGGGACCUGCGGUGCAUUAGCUAGUUGGUAGGGGUAACGGGCCUACCAAGGCGAUGAUGCAUAGCCCGAGUUGAGAGACUGAUCGGCCACAUUGGGACUGAGACACGGCCCAAACUCCUACGGGAGGCAGCAGUAGGGAAUCUUCCACAAUGGACGCAAGUCUGAUGGAGCAACGCCGCGUGAGUGAAGAAGGGCUUCGGCUCGUAAAGCUCUGUUGUUGGUGAAGAAGGACAGGGGGUAGUAACUGACCUUUGUUUGACGGUAAUCAAUUAGAAAGUCACGGGCUAACUACGUGCCAGCAGCCGCGGUAAAU